rnacentral:rRNA from 1 species
AGGUUAAGCUACAAAGAGCACACGGAGGAUGCCUAGGCGCCAGGAGCCGACGAAGGACGUGGCGAACAACGAUAAAGCCUCGGGGAGCUGUAAGCAAGCUUUGAUCCGGGGAUGUCCGAAUGGGGAAACCCGGCUGUCUUCAUCGACAGUCACUUUCUGCUGAAUACAUAGGCAGAAUAGAGGCAGACCAGGGGAACUGAAACAUCUAAGUACCCUGAGGAAGAGAAAACAAUAGUGAUUCCGUCAGUAGCGGCGAGCGAACGCGGAUUAGCCCAAACCAAGGAGCUUGCUCCUUGGGGUUGUGGGACGUCUCACAUGGAGUUACAAAGGAACCGGUUAGAUGAAGAGGUCUGGAAAGGCCCGCCAGAGAAGGUAAAAGCCCUGUAGUUCAAAACUUGUUCUCUCCGAGACGGAUCCCGAGUAGUGCGGGGCACGUGAAACCCCGUAUGAAUCCGGCAGGACCAUCUGCCAAGGCUAAAUACUCCCUGGCGACCGAUAGUGAAGCAGUACCGUGAGGGAAAGGUGAAAAGCACCCCGGAAGGGGAGUGAAAUAGAUCCUGAAACCGUGUGCUUACAAGAAGUCAGAGCCCGAUCUAUGGGUGAUGGCGUGCCUUUUGUAGAAUGAACCGGCGAGUUACGUUCCCGUGCAAGGUUAAGGUGAAGAGCUGAAGCCGCAGCGAAAGCGAGUCUGAAUAGGGCGAAUGAGUACGUGGACGUAGACCCGAAACCGGGUGAUCUACCCCUGUCCAGGGUGAAGGUGCGGUAACACGCACUGGAGGCC